AUGCACCGAAGCUGCGGCAGCGAUAUGUAAAUAUUGUUGGGUAGGGGAGCGUUCUGUAAGCCUGUGAAGGUGUACUGUGAGGUAUGCUGGAGGUAUCAGAAGUGCGAAUGCUGACAUAAGUAACGAUAAUGCGGGUGAAAAACCCGCACGCCGGAAGACCAAGGGUUCCUGUCCAACGUUAAUCGGGGCAGGGUGAGUCGACCCCUAAGGCGAGGCAGAAAUGCGUAGUCGAUGGGCAACGGGUUAAUAUUCCCGUACUGGUGAUAAUUGCGAUGGGGGGACGGAGAAGGUUAGGCUGGCCGGGCGACGGUUGUCCCGGUUUAAGGAUGUAGGCAGGUGAAUUAGGCAAAUCCGGUUCACUAUAUGCUGAGGUCUGAUGACGAGUCACUACGGUGGCGAAGUAGCUGAUACCCUGCUUCCAGGAAAAGCCUCUAAGCUCUAGAUUAUCAUUAAUCGUACCCCAAACCGACACAGGUGGUCAGGUAGAGAAUACUCAGGCGCUUG
rnacentral:rRNA from 1 species